UACGUAGGGGGCUAGCGUUGCCCGGAUUUAUUGGGCGUAAAGCGCGUGUAGGCGGCCAGGUAGGUCCGUUGUGAAAACCCGAGGCUUAACCUCGGGACGCCGACGGAAACCAUCUGGCUAGGGUCCGGAAGAGGAGAGUGGAAUUCCCGGUGUAGCGGUGAAAUGCGCAGAUAUCGGGAAGAACACCCGUGGCGAAGGCGGCUCUCUGGGACGGUACCGACGCUGAGACGCGAAAGCGUGGGGAGCGAACAGG
rnacentral:rRNA from 1 species